AACGAACGCUGGCGGCGCGCUUAACACAUGCAAGUCGAGCGAUAACCAGGGCUUCGGCCCUGGGGACAGCGGCGAACGGGUGAGUAACACGUGGAUAACCUGCCCUCGGCACCGGGAUAGCCCGGGGAAACCCGGAUUAAUACCGGAUGGCCCUUCCGGCUCACGAGCCGGUCGGAAAAGGUAGCUUCGGCCUCCGGCCGAGGAUGGGUCCGCGGCGGAUUAGCUUGUUGGUGGGGUAACGGCCUACCAAGGCUCCGAUCCGUAGCUGGUCUGAGAGGACGAUCAGCCACACUGGGACUGAGACACGGCCCAGACUCCUACGGGAGGCAGCAGUGGGGAAUCUUGCGCAAUGGGCGAAAGCCUGACGCAGCGACGCCGCGUGAGGGAGGAAGGCCUUCGGGUUGUAAACCUCUUUCAGGAGGGACGAAGCUACUCGGGUGAAUAGCCCAGAGGGUGACGGUACCUCCAGAAGAAGCCCCGGCUAACUACGUGCCAGCCGCCGCAGUAAUAC
rnacentral:rRNA from 1 species